UGAAAAGCAAUGACAGAGAAGAGUAAAUAGUUAGGAAGCCUCAGAGAGCUGAUGGUUGGUGAGAAUCAGCGCGGAAUAACUAUGGAAUGGCCUCUUGAGCAGCAACCCGAACUAGCAGUAGGAGUUGACGUGAUCAUCCACACGUUACAAAGGUGCCGUAUGAUUCAGUAUGGAAAGAGUGUUUAAUAUGUGGCAAUAGGCAAUAUAUUAAACAAAUAUGGGUGGCACCACGGUCCAAUCGUCCCUUGA
rnacentral:ncRNA from 1 species